AUAGGAUACCUGAAACGUCUACAUCCACUCUCACCAUUCACAAUGUAGAGAAACAGGACAUAGCUACCUACUACUGUGCCUUGUGGGAUGUGAUAGUAGUGAUUGGAUCAAGACGUUUGCAAAAGGGACUAGGCUCAUAGUAACUUCGCCUAUAAACAACUUGAUGCAGAUGUUUCCCCCAAGCCCACUAUUUUUCUUCCUUCGAUUGCUGAAACAAAA
rnacentral:lncRNA from 1 species